ACACCGUCUAUGAAGUUUUUAAAAUUCCACAAACAAAUUGAAGAUACUACAUGUGUCUUGUAAGGUGUAGUGGGCCAAAUUUGCCCGGCCCGAAUAAAAACAAUAAAUGAUAUAAAAAUCUAGAUAUCAAUAGUCCAUUAUUUACAACCCAAAAUCAAACCAAAUUAACCCCAAUGUUUCAAGACCCAAAUUACAAAUCCAUUUACAAAAUGACAUAGCCCAAUACCCCAAACGGCCCAGAAACUGAGCCCCAUUUUGGCAAACCCUAGGGCAAGGGUCUCCUUGUGCCGCAGCCCUCACUAGCAGCCAAACCACAUUGCGCCAGACAACGCCUCCAACAGCACCAGCGCACAGCCCUCGUACGCCACGCCCGUACCUCCGUACGAUGCCAGCAGACUCCGUACCUGCGAAAAAGACACACAGAACAGCAGCGAAUAGGGAAGAAGAAAAUAGCAUUUUCAUUUUUUGAUUUUUCUUUCUUUUCGGCUAUAAAGGCCAUGUAAUAGCCUAGGUGAGUUUUUUACGCAACAUAAACGCACAAUAGGCCAUACAGACACAAUCAAUACAUUUUGAAAUACAAAAAAGCAACGAGCAUUCGAAGGUGAUUCCGAUUCAUAAUUUCUGAGAUUUUUUCCUUUUCUUCUUGGCUUAGUUUCAUUCUCCCUGGAAUUUCUUUUUGUUCUUUCGCAUUUUGGGUUGUAUAAAAGAGAGAGGAAAUGAAAUCUUACCCCGUGAAUACGCCGUGAGAUAUCCUCUGAUUCGUUGAAAUCGGGGUCCGAGAGGAGUAUAAGGCGGAAAGAAAACCAUCUUGAGGCUCGAACAGGCCGAUCUCCAUUCAUUGCGGUGGAUUGGCAUGGCAGAUGGAGGGUCAAGGUUCGUUUGAGGGGAGUAAAAAUGGAGGCUAGGGUUUGGAGGUGCUGGCUUAAUCUGCUGAUUGAGCCAUUUUAUAGGACCUCAAACUGUGUCGCAUUGACAUCAAAGCCCGACCCGAUUCGAUUCCAAACCCGAUGACCCGCGUGUUUUUGCGGUGAGGGACUAUUUGCACAUUAAAUCCCUCCCUUUUGCGCCACGUUUAAAUCAAUCCAUAUUUUUAUUCCAUUUCUUUUAAUUUAGGCUUGUAUUUUGAGCUCAUUUGCAAUGGGGUCCGCACAUGUACACAGCGUUUUGGGAGUCUGGAAUAAUUUCAGUUUUGAUCCUUGCAUAUUCGUAUACAUUAUGCGCUGGCCCUUAUCUGUAUUUACAAAUUAUCCUUCCAUUUUAACGUGGUUUCAAUUAGACCCUCUCUUUUAUGUGAUUUCAAUUAUUUUUUUUAGAUUCACCUCAUGUUUUAUUUUAUUUUACUUGUGUUCAUUUACUCGUGUUCAUCGUCUAACUUGCAUCAUUUACUUAUUGUAAUUUGGGUAACUAUGCUUUCAUAUUUUGCGUAUUACCUCAUGUAAUUGUUUUCUUUAUAUACGCUAUUGUACAUAUAUAUUUGUACUUUACAUUAAAGUCAAUUUCAUUUCAUAUAUAUAUACAUUGUUAACCUUAUGUUAUUUUAUACAUGUGUUGUCUUAAAUUUAUUAUUGUAGUUUAUUACAUGGUCCUAUAUAAUAUAUUUUCUCAAUUAUUAUUAUAUACAUAUAUGUUUAUAGAUAUCUAUACUUGAUAUCUAUAUAUAUAUUAUUAAAUCUAUGUAUUUUAUGCAUGUAGUUUUUCUCUUUUUUCAUAUAUGUAAGUAUAUUCUUCAAUUCAUUAUAUAAUUUAUAAUAAAAUCAGUUUUAGCUUGCAUAUAUUUCUAUGUUUUUUACAAAUAAUUAUUUUUUAAAAAAAGGGGGGUUAUUUAUAUAUAUAUAAUUUGUAGAUCCAUUGCAUUUUUGAAGAUUAUAUCGUACUAUAUAUUUUUAUUAUUACCGUUUUUAAUAUAUUUUACACAUACUUUAAAUUAUUAUUCUAUACAUCCUCGUUUUUUUUUUAAAAAUCAAUAUUAUUCUACGUUUUGGUAUGAUUUUCGAUUUAAACAUUCAUUUUAUAAUAUUUUUUAAAAUGAUUAAGCGUAUAUCCCUAGUUUUUCCUUUUUUACAAAUAAAUUUUAAAUGCACCAAUUCAUUAAUUUGCAUGUCAUAAAGAUUUUUGGUUCAUUAGAUCGCAUUUGUUCCGACAUCGUCUUAUACCACUUUGACUUCUAAAUUCUAUUUUGUUUUGCAUACGCUCUUUUGGUUGCUUUAUAUAUGUACAUUCCUUGCGUGGCAUCCACCUUAUUGAACUGUUAAUUACUCAUCAUAUAUGAUUGAAAUUAGGCUAUAAUUCCUAGAUUAAUUAUAUUUAAUUGCUUGUUCUGCUAGUUGAUUCAUUAAGUAUUGUAUCUCGUAUGUGUAUAUUACCUCAUUCAUCGUUUUCCAUUUGAUUUUCGAAAUGCGGUUUUAUAAAAUCCAAAUUUUAUGAUUAAUCUCGUACUAUUUCAAAUUGAAUUAAUACGUCUUAAGCUAGCUCUAUAAUCAUUCAUUCAAAAAUUCUUUAAAAACGAAGGCAAGAUUCGAUGUUUGGCAAUUCGUGGAAUCGUGCCCUAACGUGUUGGGUUGCGAUUUCGCGUUUGCUCAAAAUAAUCGAAUAUCACUUCGAAAUUUCACUCACGCCUUUUAAAAUUCCUCAAAACGAAGACGAGGUUUGAUAUUUAGCAAUUCGCAGAAUCGUGCCCUAACGUGUUGGGUUGCAAUUUUGCGUUUGUUCAAAAUAAUCGGGCUUCCCUUCAAAAUUCCAUUCAUAUCUCCUAAAAUUUUUUAAAUGAAGGCAAUGUUCGACGUUUGAUAAUUUGAGAAUCAUGCUCUAUCGCGUUGGGUUGUGGUUCCUGGUUUGCUCAAAAUGAUCGAACAUUCCUUUACAUUCUCACUCAUGUUUAUAAAAAAAAUACUUAAAAACGAAAACGAUGUUCAAUGUUUGGCGAUUUGAGAAUCGUGCCCUAUCGUGCUGGGUUGCGCUUUUUCAUUGGUCUGAAACAAUUGAAGAUCCCUUCAGAAUUUCCCUCGCACUUUCUAAAAUCUUUUAAAAUAAAGGCGAUGUUCGAUGUUUGGCGAUUUGAGAAUCGAGCCCUAUCAUGCUGGGUUGCGCUUUCUCAUUUGCCCAAAAUAAUCGAAUAUCUCCUCGAAAUUUUCACACGUAUUUUAUAAAGUAAGGCAAUGGUCAAUAUUUAGAAAUUCGAAGAAUCGUACCCUACUGUGCUGGGUUUCGAUUUUUCGUUGGACUAAAUAGUUGAGCAUCAUUCUGUAAUUCUCAAAUUAUAUACCUUCGGGCAUCGAAACAAGAAAUUUUGGCAACCAAGUCGGAUCACUCAAACGUUAUAAAAGGAACCACAUUUCAAAAAACUUUUAAUUUUAGACAUAAGGACAGUAUUUAAUUGACUUGGUACCAAUUUUGGGCGUAGUGAGGGUGCUAAUCCUUCCUCAUGCGUAACCGACUCCCGAACCUGUUUUCUCAAAAGUUCGUAGACCAAAAUUAUUGUUUUAAUAAACCAAAAAUGUUUAUUUAAACUAACCUCAUUUUUAGGUGAUUCGAUCACACCAAAAUAAAAGAUCGGUGGCGACUCCAUAUUUUCAUUUUCCAAAAAGUCGAUUCCACCAUUUUUCAUUAAAAUAAUUUUUUUUUAAAAUCGUGGGAUGGUUUCGACAGCUUGGCGACUCCGGUGGGGAUUUGAACUUGAGAGUCGAGCCAUAAAAAUCGAUUAUUUACUGUCCUUUUGUUAAAAAACCGAAAAUUUAUUUUAAAAAUCAUGUAUAUUUCGAUUGCAUUUGAUUGUAUGUUUGUGCGGGCCUUGUAGAAUAGCACUGCAUUUCAUUGCAUGACCACUGUGGUUACACCUUCUAAGUGGAAGUAAGAAGCUACGCUUUCGUGAGGUUUUCACCUCCGCAUGGGCUAGUGGAUUGCUUCCGGGGUACAUCCGUACCUAUGAUUUCGUGAGAUUUUCAUCUCUGCAUGGUCAUAGGGAAAUGUAUCCCCUCGAACCGAACUCGAUCUAUAUGAGCUUAUAAUGGGUGAGGAUUGAGGAAUCUGCUGGUUCGGGUACCCAUUUUCCUAGAACUAAACCACAUAUAGUGAACCUUAGGAGCUAUCCUUGGGUGGAGCCGCGUCGAACCUUAGUACUUACCCGUACAUGCGUUAUAAUCACCGUUUAUGUGCUUGCAUUCUAUUGCUAUUAUUUGAUACUAACCGAUGUUUUGUUUUGAUUGUCUUUUUUGCAUGACAUUGCAUAUUAAAGGAGGCGUUAAUCUACAUUCAAUUACUAAGUUAGAAAAUUUGACAUGGAGAAUGAAUUUUUUAGUAAAGUCGAGGAUAAUGCGGCCGUUCGUGCUUGGUCGGAGAGGCUACAAUCUGAGAGAGGGGAUAGCUUGGCAGAAGGGUAUGUGUCGGAGCUGUAGGAUUUCACUCGCGUCAAUGUAGUACAGAAUAAGCUGCAAUAGUUGAGAGACAUUUGGGUUAGUUGGGAUGAAAGGAUCAAGCAGUUGUUUUACCAAAGUUAUGGUGACAUAUCCUACCUGCUAGACAUUAAAGUGGAUAAGCAUUUGUUCCGAGCCUUGGUGCAGUUUUGGAAUUCCGCAUAUAAGUGUUUUACCUUUGGAGAAGUGGAUUUGGUACCUACCAUGGAGGAAUAUACUACGCUGCUUAGAUGUCCAAAGAUUCAGGUCUGGAAGACUUAUGCCCGGGUUUUUAGUAAUCAGGCUUUCGUGAAGAAACUGAUGAGCAUUUCUGGGAUGAGCGAGUCUUGGGUCACUGCUCGGAUUCAGCAGAAAGGAGAUAGCAAAUGUGUCCCUUGGGAGAAUUUGCGAGAUUUGAUCUUGACUCAUCUAGACGAAAGAAAGAGGGUCGAUAUAUUUGCCUUAAGCAUCUACGGAUUAGUGAUCUUUCCUACGGCUUUGAGGCACGUGGACGAGGCGGUCAUUGACUUGUUUGAUCGUCUUGAAAAGGGAAUCACACCGGUACCGGCAAUAUUGGCAGAAACGUUCAGAUCUUUGAGCUUAUGUCAGAAGACGGGUGAGGGGCGAUUUAUUGGAUGUGCUCAACUAUUGAUGGUAUGGUUUCAUGGGAACUUUUGGAAGGUAGACAAGGUUUCCUAUCGAGUCUUUUCCAAAGGUUAUUCCCCUUUGAAAGAAGAGGUAGCUAUACAGAGGAGAAAGGAUAUCUCAGAAGAGAAGUGGAUGGAUAUUUUUCAGAACCUUAAGGAGGAGGAUAUCGAGUGGAGUGCUUAUUGGAUGGUUCCUGAUGAGAUCAUGUACCAAUGUGGUAACUUUGAUUGGGUGCCAUUGUUAGGAAUUUGGGGAGCUACCGGGUAUACUCCGUUGAUAGCCUUGAGGCAAUACAAGUCGAGGCAGUUUGUACCCACGACCUAUGGACUUGCUCAGAGUGAAUUCUCGUUUAAAGGUGCUCACUAUUAAAAGAGAGUUCGGGAGUUAUCGGAUGCUUGGAAGCAAACUUGUUAGAUGAAGAGGUUAGCCGUCGGUUCUAUGGUAACGCCCGAGUACAGCAAGUGGUUUAAGAAGAGGAUUAAUGAUAAUAUUCCUAGGCCAAGCUUAGAGAAUGCUCGGCCUAUCGGGGAACAAUUACAAGUCGCCCCAUCAGAAUUGGAGAUUAUAAAACAAGAUUUCGAGAAGAAGAGUUUGGAGUUUGGUAAGAAGAUCGAACAAUUAGAGGAAGAGAAGAUGCACCUAAGAUUAGAGGCUGAUGUCCAAAGGUCAGAGGCUGAGAAGUGGAGAAAAGGAAAAACUAAGGCUGAAGAAGAUCUAGACAGUUUGAAAAUGGACUACAAAAAGUUACGCCUAUCUAUGAGGAUUGCGGGUUUAGGUAAGACUUCCGAACAAUGGCGCCAUGAAAUUCGGGAAGAAAAAACCAAUACCGACCGGUGGGAAAGGAAAUUUCGAGAAACUCAAGCACGAAACGAAGAUUUGGAGAAAAGUCUAUCAGAAAGCAGAAAUGAGCAAGGGGAAUUAAGGGCUAGAGUGGCAGAACUCGAGAAGUCCCUACAUCAGUACCGAAACCGCAACACCGUGACAGAAUUGAGGGCAAGCUUGAGCAAAAUACAAGAAAUGAAAGGAAGAAUAGAAGAGUUAGAGGCGUCACUGCAAAAUUGUGAUAUGCGAAUCCAGUUUUUUGAGGCAAACGAGGAUCGUUGGAAGGAGCAACUUCACCAUGCGCAAGGCCAAGUUAGAAAUAGGGAUUACCUUAUGGGAGAGGCCAUAACCCAGAUCCGGGAGGUAGCGGACUACUUGCAAACUCUAGCGGUUCAGGCAGACACACUAAGCGUGAAAUAUGAGUUAGAGUCGGAGCGCGAACAAGAGCUGGCCUCAUUGCUUAGAAAAAUUAGGACUUUGAGCGUUAGAGCAAAAUUAUAUUUGUAACUCGACUUUAUGUAAAAGAUUUUAUUUUCAAGUAAAAUUUUCUAAGGGCUGUUGAAUCAAAAUUGAUGCCUCCUUUACAUUCAUGCAUUUGCAUUACAUCAUAUCAUUAUGCAUUAAAGGCCAUUAGAGUUUUCUAAUUAAUUAACUAAAAAUUAUUUCAAUAACCUGGAAACCAAUGAAAACCAACCACGCACCCCUACAGUACAAGGAAAAAAUCAAUGGAUAAGAGACUCGAGAAAUUAGAGCGGAUGCAAAAAGACAUGCAAGAACAAAUACAGUCUCAGAUGCAAGAGCAGCUAGCCAAGAUUCAGUGAGAGAUGAAAGAGCAAAUGAUGGAGUCCCAGAGGGAAAUGAUGAGUCAGUUAUCCCAAUUGUUGUUGGGAGGAACGGAUAAGGGAAAGGGCCCCAUGGACAAAGUUGAAGAAGCUAAUGAGGAUCCUCAAUACCCCCUGGCUUCACUCUGACACAUGUACCGGUGAAGCUCGAGAUUAAUCUACCGAAGCCAUCUGUCACGAUCAUACCCCAGCAGGUUCAGGCUGGAGCUUCAAUACUGAUGAAUUUCCAAACCGGCUUAGGCUCCAACUUUGUCAACAACCCGAACUAUCCGCCCAUUCCCGAUUUGGAUGAAAUUGCUGAAGAAGAAAAGGCGAGGAUGGAUUCGCAAAAACAAUUGGAAAAACGGUGUAGAUGGCUCGAAGAGAAAUUUAAAGCCAUGGAAAGCGCGGAUCAUCAUCAAGGGAUUAAUGCCAAGGACCUAAGUUUAGUCCCAGAUUUAGUCCUUCCCCCCAAAUUCAAAAUGCCCAAGUUCGAGAAAUACAAUGGAACAAGUUGCCCUGAAGCUCAUAUCAUUAUGUUCUGCAGGCGAAUGACGGGAUAUGUUAACAAUGACCAGCUAUUAAUCCACUACUUUCAAGAUAGUUUGGUCGGGGCGGCGUCUAAGUAGUACAACCAAUUAAGCCGCUCUAAGAUUAACUUGUGGAAGGACCUGGCCCAAGCCUUUAUGAAGCAAUACAAUCACGUGACAGACAUGACCCCUGACAGAAUCACUCUCCAGAAUAUGGAGAAGAAAUCGAAUGAAAGCUUCAGGCAGUACGUAUAAAGAUGGAGGGAGGUGGCCAUACAAGUUCAGCCGCCACUUCUAGAAAAGGAGAUAACGAUACUCUUUAUAAAUACCUUGAAGGCCCCUUUUAUCACUCAUAUGUUGGGAAGCGCCACCAAGAGCUUCUCCGACAUAGUGAUGAUGGGAGAAAUGAUCGAAAAUGCUGUAAAGAGCGGCAAGAUAGAAUCGAGAGAGAGUGCUAGGAAGUUAGCCCCGAGGAGAAAAGACAAUGAAGUGAACAACACGAGCACAUUCAACAAGGGGCAGCCCAAGUCAAUUACCGUAAAUCAACCCAAAAUGGUGACUACCAAUCAACAAAGUUCUGUAAGGCAAGAAUCCAAUGCGAGGAAGAACAUAGAAAGGCCACAAUACACCCCUAUACCCAUGUCCUAUAGAGAGUUGUACCAGAACCUGUUCAACGCUCAUGUGGUAUCCCCUUUCUACCUGGAGCCACUGCAGUCCCCGUAUUCCAAAUAGUAUGACGCGAAUGCCCAAUGUGAGUACCACGCGGGAAUCACCGGGCACUCAAUCGAAAAUUGCACUGCGUUUAAGAAAGUGGUCGAAAGACUCAUUAAGGUGGGAAUCAUGAGAUUUGAUGACCCAGCCACGCCCAAUUUAGCAGGAAACCCACUCCCUAAUCAUACCGACCAAGGAGUGAAUGGGAUAAGUGAAGGCUUGAACAAGAAGAC
rnacentral:lncRNA from 1 species